rnacentral:tRNA from 1 species
GCGCCCUUAGCUCAGUGGAUAGAGCAUCGGUUUUCUAAACCGAGGGUCACAGGUUCGAAUCCUGUAGGGCGCACCA